GUUGUGUUGGACACGCCAGGAGGCGAGAAAGGGACGAAGACGCCGACAAAUGAAAGAAUGACGGACGACAUGUGACGACUCACUUGUCCUUUUGACGAAAAGGCGCGGGGGAGAUUGUUACAAAUGUAUUGUGCGAUGCCCGGCGCCACCGUGUCCGUGCGGAGUUUGUCCGAAGUGGAGAAACACCUCAACGGCAACAGGAUGGACCGCAGCGCCGACGGGUCUUUCCCCAGCCCCCCCGCCUCCAUGCGCCGGGGACUGUCGGAGAACAACCUGGACCUGGACCUGAGCGACGGCGCGCCCUCGUCCUCCUCCGGGCCCCCGGAGUUCCAGCGGAGCCGCUCCUGCGUGGACAGCCUCCAGCAGAAGAUCCUGAAGGUGACGGAGCAGCUGAAGAUCGAGAAGACGGCGCAGGACGAGAACCUGGUGGAGUACCUGAAGCUGAUGAACAGCGCCGACAAGCUGCAGGUGGGCCGCAUCAAGCAGGUGUUCGAGAAGAAGAACCAGAAGUCGGCGCAGAACAUCGCCCAGAUGCAGAAGAAGCUGGAGCAGUACUACCGCAAGAUGAGGGACAGCGAGGUCCACCUCAACCCCUCGCCGCCCAAGCACAGCACCAUACCCAGGGAGUCUCGCCGGGAGCUGCUGAGGGACAUGACGGGCAGCGGGCGCCACCCCACCAUGGACAAGAUCAAGACCAUCGGACCCGGCGUCUCUCUCUCGCCGCCGUUCUUCUUCAGCAAACCCCGGGAGUUCGCCAACCUCAUCAGGAACAAGUUCGGCAGCGCCGACAACAUCGCCCACCUCAAGACCUCCAUGGACGCCUCCCCGCCGCUGCCCGCCGAGACGGCGGGAGGGAAGGGCCUGAGCAGCAGCACCUCGCUGGUGGGCAAGUCCAAGUACCCCAGCGACGACGAGUGCUCCCUGGUCAGCGCCUCCAACUCGGCGGACAGCAACGGGCUCUCGGCGGGGAUGCGGGGCCCCGGACCUUGCCCGGGCCAGCAGGCGGUGCCGGGCGAGACCCACAACAGGCUGGUGCUGGGCCUGGAGGAGGCCAGGGAGAUUAAGGAGGCGCAGAACCAGCUGGAGGAGGACAUGGAGGAGGUCAAAGCCCAGUUCAAGAGGGAUUAUGGAGUCGUUAACCGAGCGCUGCAGGAGGAGCGAUACAGGUACGAGCGCCUGGAGGACCAACUGAACGACCUGACCGAGCUCCACCAGCACGAGAUGGCCGACCUGAAGCAAGAGCUGGCCAGCAUCGAGGAGAGGGUGGCCUACCAGGCCCUGGAGAGAGCCCGCGACAUCCAGGAAGCUCUGGAGUCGUGUCAGACGCGCGUGUCCAAGCUGGAGCUGCAGCAGCAGCACCAGCAGCAGACGGUGCAGCUGGAGAGCGGCGACGCCCGGGUGCUGCUGGGGCGGAGCAUCAACAUCAUGCUGGCCUUCGUCACCGUCAUCCUGGUCUGCGUCUCCACCGCCGCCAAGUUCGCCGCCCCGCUGAUGAGGAGCCGGCACCACGUGGUCGCCACCGUCCUGGGGGUCUUCUUCCUGACCGUGUUCUGGAAGAACUGGGACCGUUUACAGUACGCCAUAGACAAGGUGCUGGUGCCCGGCUGAGGCCUGGAGGUGGACGCUGUGAGGUGAUUGGUUGUACAAUUGUCUUACAUCCUUCUUCUUCUUCUUCCUAAACCGUGAUUCUACUUUCCUGUCCUUAACUUCCACCGUUACUUUCAUACAUUACAUCAUGGACGCCCCUGCUUAUUUCUACCAGCUCAAGAAGGUCGAGUUCCACCCAAAAAUUGGCAAGAGCUCUGAAGGAAAUGUUUCACGUGAAAUACACGAAACGGGAAGUCGCCGGCUGAAACGUACCUUCAAGACUUGAAACGGCGAGCUCGUUUGCGGUUCUUGCAGCUGAAGUAACACUGUUUUGCACGCCGUUGCGACGCUUUGCGAGGCACACGCGAACAAUCGACUGCCGCACCCGCCGGAAAGUGCUGCUUUUUAAAAAUAAUGUCGGCUAAAACUCGGAAGACGCUAAGAAACGCCCGUUUGCUUGUGUAUUAUUUGUAGUUUAUUUUAGAUACACUUCACCAGGUAGACGUGAACAAUCGAACACAACACCCCCCUAAAAGGUAUUUUAAAGACUUGAAACGGAAAUAUUAAGUUGUUUCUUAUUUAAAGUUCACUAUUUUACUUACACACCUGUUUCUUCACUAGGUAGACGUGAACAAUCAAACACAACACCCCCCUAAAAGGUAUUUUAAAGACUUGAAACGGAAAUAUUAAGUUGUUUCUUACUUAAAGUUCACUAUUUUACUUACACACCUGUUUCUUCACUAGGUAGACGUGAACAAUCAAACACAACACCCCCCUAAAAGGUAUUUUAAAGACUUGAAACGGAAAUAUUAAGUUGUUUCUUAUUUAAAGUUCACUAUUUUACAUGCACACCUGUUUUUUUUACUAGGUAGACGUGAACAGUCAAAUGCUGUACCCCCCCAAAAGUGCUGCUUUUCAAAGAAAGGUCAGCUAAAAUGUAUUUUAAAGAUUUUAAACGGGGAGUUUCAGUUUUUUCUUAUUUAAAGUUCACUAUUUUACAUGCACAUCUGUUUCUUUACUAGGUAGACGUGAACAGUCGAAUGCUGCACCCCCCAAAAGUGCUGCUUUUCAAAGAAAGGGCGGCUAAAAUUAUUUUAAAGAUUUGAAACGGGGAGAUUAAAUUUUUCUUACUUAAAGUUAACUAUUUUACUUACACACCUGUUACUUCACUAGGUAGACGUGAACAAUCGAACACAACAACCCCCUAAAAGGUAUUUUAAAGACUUUAAACGGAAAUAUUACGUUUUUUCUUAUUUAAAGUUCACUAUUUUACAUGCACACCUGUUUCUUUACUAGGUAGACGUGAACAGUCAAAUGCUGUACCCCCCCCAAAAGUGCUGCUUUUCAAAAAGAAGGUCGGCUAAAAUGUAUUUUAAAGACGUGAAACAGGGAGAUUCAGUUUUUCUUACUUAAAGUUCACUAUUUUACAUCCACACCUGUUUCUUCACUAGGUAGACGUGAACAGUCAAAUGCUGUACCCCCCCCCCCCAAAAGUGCUGCUUUUCAAAGAAAGGUCGGCUAAAAUGUAUUUUAAAGAUUUUAAACGGGGAGUUUCAGUUUCUUCUUAUUUAAAGUUCACUAUUUUACUUACACACCUGUUUCUACUUACACACCUGUUACUUCACUAGGUACACGUGAACAAUCGAACACAACAACCCCCUAAAAGGUAUUUUAAAGACUUGAAACGGAAAUAUUACGUUUUUUCUUAUUUAAAGUUCACUAUUUUACAUGCACACCUGUUUCUUUACUAGGUAGACGUGAACAGUCAAAUGCUGUACACCCCAAAAGUGCUGCUUUUCAAAAAAAAGGUCGGCUAAAAUGUAUUUUAAAGACGUGAAACAGGGAGAUUCAGUUUUUCUUACUUAAAGUUCACUAUUUUACAUCCACACCUGUUUCUUCACUAGGUAGACGUGAACAGUCGAAUGCUGUACCCCCCAAAAGUGCUGCUUUUCAAAGAAAGGGCGGCUAAAAUUAUUUUAAAGAUUUGAAACGGGGAGAUUCAGUUUUUCUUACUUAAAGUUCACUAUUUUACUUACACACCUGUUACUUCACUAGGCACACGUGAACAAUUGAACACAACACCCCCUAAAAGGGCUAAAAUGUAUUUUAAAGACUUUGAACAGAAAGAUUCAGUUUUUUCUUAGUUAAAGUUCACUAUUUUACUUACACACCUGUUUCUUCACUCGGUAGACGUGAACAUUCGAAUGCUGCACCCCCCCAAAAGUGCUGCUUUUCAAAGAAAGGCUAAAAUUAAUUUUAAAGAUUUGAAACCGUGAGAUUCAGUUUUUCUUACUUAAAGUUCACUAUUUUACUUACACACCUGUUUCUUCACUAAGUGCACGUGAACAAUCGAACACAACACCCCCCUAAAAGGGCUAAAAUGUAUUUUAAAGACUUGAAACAGAAAGAUUAAUUGUUUUCUUACUUAACGUUCACUAUUUU